GAUGAACGCUGGCGGCGUGCCUAAUACAUGCAAGUCGAGCGAACAGACGAGGAGCUUGCUCCUCUGACGUUAACGGCGGACGGGUGAGUAACACGUGGAUAACCUACCUAUAAGACUGGGAUAACUUCGUGAAACCGGAGCUAAUACCGGAUAAUAUAUUGAACCGCAUGGUUCAAUAGUGAAAGACGGUUUUGCUGUCACUUAUAGAUGGAUCCGCGCCGCAUUAGCUAGUUGGUAAGGUAACGGCUUACCAAGGCAACGAUGCGUAGCCGACCUGAGAGGGUGAUCGGCCACACUGGAACUGAGACACGGUCCAGACUCCUACGGGAGGCAGCAGUAGGGAAGCGUCCGCAAUGGGCGAAAGCCUGACGGAGCAACGCCGCGUGAGUGAUGAAGGUCUUCGGAUCGUAAAACUCUGUUAUUAGGGAAGAACAAAUGUGGAAGUAACUAUGCACGUCUUGACGGUACCUAAUCAGAAAGCCACGGCUAACUACGUG
rnacentral:rRNA from 1 species